rnacentral:tRNA from 1 species
UCCGGUAUGGUGUAACGGCUAACAUUGUCGCCUUUCAUAUGACUAAUCCUGUCACGUGACGCGACGGCUCGGGGUUCGAUUCCCCGUACCGGAG